rnacentral:lncRNA from 1 species
UCGAGUAACAGGUGCUGGUUCAUUAAACAUCGCACAUGCGAUGUAUAUCCAUUAAUUCUUCGAGUUUGAACUCUAAAAAGUCUCUUACACUUGGACGAAAUGUCUAUAAAUAGAGAGCGGUAUGAGUUGAAGACGGAAAAGACGGUAGUGGCAGACGGCAAACGUGGUGCUCGAGACAACGAUUCGCGUGCGCCAGACGUUUUCUUUCGCAAUUAGGUCGAUCUCUGGCUAAUGAGACGGUACCGGUUUUCUCCGACGUAUCAACGCGUUCCGACCAUUUUGAUAUUACGAUUUGACAAGUUUUCAAUUCGAUUCAUUCCAAGAUAAAAUUGAUCUUCUUUGCCAAGGCACGCGAGGAGGACAACUUUUUAUUUUUCUUCGAUGCUUCAAUCGAAUGUGCUUGUUCGUUCGAUAAUUCUUAAAAUACGUCGGCCUACUUUAAUCCGCGUAAAACGCAGCAUUAACGAUGCGAUGCGUUGCGACAUACGGUCAUCCCUUACGAUGCAGCAUUAAAAAUAGACAUCUUACAUUGUAUUUAUGGAACCGAGUGACUUUGAGAUCGACGAGAACAUCUGGGAAACGUACGAUCGAAUAGUAGACGAUUCGAUCGGCAAACGAUACCAUUAGUAGUCGAGAAACGUCAGCAACGUCAGCAACGUCAGCAAUGUCAGCAACGUCGGUAGCAGCAGCGGUGGCGCCAUGAUGACUUUAGCCAUUAGACUAGCAAUCGGAGAGCUUUAAUUUUGACUGGUAAGUUUAGCGAUAGGCGCAAAGUGGUUGACAAAUAAAAGCCGUUCGAGUGCUUCUUCGGAGUUACGAUGCUUCGGUAUAUAUCCGGAAUAUAUAGGGGUAUAUGCGAGCUGGGGGUGUAAACGGUGGCUCGAGUGUGCUUUUGGUUCUACCGUAGCGCGAAGAAGAGCGAAAAA